rnacentral:rRNA from 1 species
GAUGAACGCUGGCGGCGUGCCUAAUACAUGCAAGUCGAGCGAACGGACGAGAAGCUUGUUUCUCUGAUGUUAGCGGCGGACGGGUGAGUAAUACGUGGAUAACCUACCUAUAAGACUGGGAUAACUUCGGGAAACCGUAGCUAAUACCGGAUAAUAUUUUGAACCGCAUGGUUCAAAAGUGAAAGACGGUCUUGCUGUCACUUAUAGAUGGAUCCGCGCUGCAUUAGCUAGUUGGUAAGGUAACGGCUUACCAAGGCAACGAUGCAUAGCCGACCUGAGAGGGUGAUCGGCCACACUGGAACUGAGACACGGUCCAGACUCCUACGGUAGGCAGCAGUAGGGAAUCUUCCGCAAUGGGCGAAAGCCUGACGGAGCACCGCCGCGUGAGUGAUGAUGGUCUUCGGAUCGUAAAACUCUGUUAUUAGGGAAGAACAUAUGUGUAAGUAACUGUGCACAUCUUGACGGUACCUAAUCAGAAAGCCACGGCUAACUACGUG